AUUCGCAGAGGGUGUUUGUGAGAUAUGGCUGACCAGUGAAGACACAGGGGCUUAUGGCAGAGACAUUGGCACAGACCUCCCCACGCUUCUGUGGAAGCUGGUUGAAGUUAUUCCUGAGGGAGCUAUGCUGAGGCUUGGCAUGACAAACCCUCCCUAUAUUUUAGAGCAUCUGGAGGAAAUGGCGAAGAUUCUCAAUCAUCCCAGGGUGUAUGCUUUUCUGCACAUACCAGUCCAGUCAGCCUCUGACAGUGUGCUCAUGGAUAUGAAGAGAGAAUACUGCGUGGCAGACUUCAAACAAGUAGUGGAUUUCCUUAAAGAAAAGCUGCAUCUGCUUGGGUGU